rnacentral:rRNA from 1 species
CCUACGGGAGGCAGCAGUGGGGAAUAUUGCACAAUGGGGGAAACCCUGAUGCAGCGACGCCGCGUGAGUGAAGAAGUAAUUCGUUACGUAAAGCUCUAUCAGCAGGGAAGAAACACUGACCUUACGGUCAGCAGACGGUACCUGAGUAAGAAGCCCCGGCUAACUACGUGCCAGCAGCCGCGGUAAUACGUAGGGGGCAAGCGUUAUCCGGAUUUACUGGGUGUAAAGGGAGCGUAGACGGUGCGCCAAGUCUGGAGUGAAAUGCGGGGGCCCAACCUCCGGACUGCUUUGGAAACUGUAUGGCUGGAGUGCAGGAGAGGUAAGUGGAAUUCCUAGUGUAGCGGUGAAAUGCGUAGAUAUUAGGAGGAACACCAGUGGCGAAGGCGGCUUACUGGACUGUAACUGACGUUGAGGCUCGAAAGCGUGGGGAGCAAACAGGAUUAGAUACCCGUGUAGUC